rnacentral:rRNA from 1 species
UGCGUAGGCGGAUUUAUAAGUCAGUGGUGAAAUCCUACAGCUUAACUGUAGAACUGCCAUUGAUACUGUAGAUCUUGAGUACGGUUGAGGUGGGCGGAAUGUGUCAUGUAGCGGUGAAAUGCUUAGAUAUGACACAGAACGCCAAUUGCGAAGGCAGCUCGCUAAACCGUAACUGACGCUGAGGCACGAAAGCGUGGGGAGCGAACAGGAUUAGAUACCCUGGUAGUCC